rnacentral:lncRNA from 1 species
GGAAAAGACGUGUUAAUAUCAAUUCAAUAACCUGAGUAUAUAAAUGAAGUCCUUUGAUAUUUGCAUAAAAUUAAUAAAUGAUCCCAAGGAAUAUGUCAGGUACGAAAUGGUAAGUCAAGAACUUGGUUUAGCUUCAACGUCCCCUCUUCUUGGCUUUUCUCAAUUACCACUCAAGGAUGCAACCUGAAUCUGGUUCUUCAAAAUCCAACGUCACCUCUUAUUAGCGUGUUAUACAUCAGGUUAAGAGCCUGAAUUGUUAAGGAUAUAUGAUCACUAUUCAUGACUUCUAAUCCAAAUCAGACACAGAGGAAGUAGGUAUUAUCAGUGAAGAACCUAUUUCAUUCUCUCUUCAAAAAUGAAAACCCAGGAACUACAGAUUCAAAUGGCACCAACAAACCAAGUUAGUAUUAUAUCCUUCUAACUUCCAAACCACAAUUUGUCCAUUAUGAAUUAGGCUCAGCUAGUUCAUAUUCUGACCUCAAAUUGGUAUUGCUUUGUAACAGGUCGUGAGCAGUAUAAAUGCACAAACACCUAUAUACAUAGGUACACAUUUCAAAAAGAGUAAAACCCAAUAGCCCAUGUCAAGAGGUAGCAAUUACACUGAAGUUUGGUCGCUUGGGAUUGAUCCUACAUGGGCGGUAAAAGGUUCCACCUGAAUCAUCAACCCCUCAAAGGGAUCAAACCAUGUAUGAAGAAAGUACACUACAACAGAGACCCUAUUCUCUCAAACUCAACGCAAGAACACAGACGAACAUUCAACCGAACUGCGAUGUUCGACCGAACUGCGAUUUUCUUUUCCUUACAACUCAUAAUCUGAUAUAAUCCAGUCGAAUUUCCCUUUUGACCAAUUGGGUAUGCAUUUUCUCAAUCGUUUAACAUCAAACAUCUCGAGGCCACAUUUCAAUAGCAUGUGCAUCACAACAUAAACAAAAAAUCAGAAUCUUACCUAACCCAUAAUCCGGUGAUCUCAUCUCCAACCCAUGGAAUUCAAUACGGAAACCAAUCUUGAGAUGGGAUAUCUCCCAAGUCUCAAUGGCAUCGGACUUCAAUGAAAGAAAAUCAUAGGCUCCCGGACUCGAUUUCCACUGGAACCCAAAAGCGGCAAGCUUACGUAGAAUCAAUUGUGGUGGAUAAAAAGAAACGAAGAACACUCACUGUGUAGACGAUUCUUACCAGAUCGAGUCAUUGAUUUCUCAUAGAGAAGGGAUGAUCCCAGUUUCCAGUUUCCCGACCUAGAAUCAAUCGGUUCCUGAUUCCAGUUUCCGCGUGAGCAGAGGAAGAAGACUGCUGUUGUCGGCAAAAUGAAGAAGAAACGGGCAGGUAGUUGUUUUGGGUUUGUUCCGGCUUCCGCAGAUGAAGAAACAGAGGGGGACGUUUAAGUGGUAGAUUAAAAAGGCG